UAGUUUGCUCUUAUUUUAGCCGAGUAUUCUUACCUCUGAACACAGUAAGAAGAAAACUUGGUCAAUAAUCGAUCUUUCUAUUUAUGGCUUCAUUCAGGGAGGUUCCUUCUCCCAUUUGUGUACCAUAAGUUCGUGGAAAUGUUUGUUGGCACUUGAAGUUCAAUCCUAUCCAUUUCAGUUUGUACUACAAGCCACUUGUUUGAUGUCCCUUAUUUCUGAAUCGGUUGGAAUCUGCUUAAUCUUUCAAAGUUUCUGGAACAAUGUUGCAAAUUUUUCGAUACGGGGUCUAUCAUGAUCCUUUUACGAUUUUUAAGUGAAUUGUAAGCUGCUUAAGUUGAAAGAUCAGAAUGCGAAAUGGGAUUAACAACUAUAACAAGACUAGAGAAUCGACUUCGUUCGAAUACAUAUUGUACACAGCUUGCAUCACAAUACCACUCUCUUAAACCAUUUUCGAUUAUGAAACAAAUCUGCUGCUCCAAACAUUUUACCAAAUUUACAUGGAUAUAUUUACUCCUUCCAGAAAGUCAUUCGUUUCCAUUUCCCCUAACAGCAAAGCGUCUUCACCUCAGCAUGCCAUAUUUGCGGAAGCAAAGUACACUUCAACCUGAAAAAAAUAAAGUUGUUUUUGUUAAUAAAAGAUCUCAACACAUAAAAUGGAGAUAUAUAUCUCUUUAACCGAUGUGCGAGUUGCAGGCUUAC
rnacentral:lncRNA from 1 species